rnacentral:rRNA from 1 species
UUCCGGUUGAUCCUGCCGGACCCCACUGCUAUCGGGAUAGGACUAAGACAUGCUAGUCGUGCGUCUCCUAGCUACGAUGGAGGCGCGGCGGACAGCUCAGUAACACGUGGCUAACCUGCCCUUAGGACAGGAAUAACCCCGGGAAACUGGGAUUAAUUCCUGAUAGGUGAAGAACUCUGGAAUGGGUCUUCGUCUAAAGGGCGUCUAGCUCAUGCGCCUAGACGUUGCCUGAGGAUGGGGCCGCGUCCGAUCAGGUUGUUGGUGAGGUAAUGGCCCACCAAGCCUAUAACCGGUGCGGGCCGUGAGAGCGGGAGCCCGGAGAUGGGCACUGAGACAAGGGCCCAGGCCCUACGGGGCGCAGCAGUCGCGCAAACUUUGCAAUACACGAAAGUGUGACAAGGCUAUCCCGAGUGCCGUCCGCUGAGGAUGGCUUUUACUCAGUAUAAAAAGCUGAGAGAAUAAGGAGAGGGCAAGACUGGUGUCAGCCGCCGCGGUAAUACCAGCUCUCCGAGUAGUGUGGAUGUUUAUUGGGCCUAAAGCAUCCGUAGCUGGCUGGACAAGUUCUCUGUUAAAUCCACCGAUUUAAUCGUUGGAUUGCGGGGAAUACUGUUCGGCUAGGGGGCGGGAGAGGCCGACGGUAUUUCCGGGGUAGGGGUGAAAUCCUAUAAUCCCGGGAGGACCACCAGUGGCGAAGGCUGUCGGCUAGAACGCGCCCGACGGUGAGGGAUGAAAGCUGGGGGAGCGAACCGGAUUAGAUACCCGGGUAGUCCCAGCUGUAAACGAUGCAGGCUAGGUGUUUGGGCGGCUACGUGCCGCUCUAGUGCCGCAGGGAAGCCGUUAAGCCUGCCGCCUGGGGAGUACGGCCGCAAGGCUGAAACUUAAAGGAAUUGGCGGGGGAGCACCACAAGGGGUGAAGCUUGCGGUUUAAUUGGACUCAACGCCGGU